rnacentral:rRNA from 1 species
GACGAACGCUGGCGGCGUGCUUAACACAUGCAAGUCGAACGAUGAAGAAAAGAAUUGCAGCUUCGGCAGAAAUUCAUUUCGGAUUAGUGGCAGACGGGUGGGUAACGCGUGAGCAACCUACCUCUUACAAAGGGAUAGCCUCGGGAAACCGGGAUUAAUACCAUAUAACAUUGCGACGAAGCAUUUCGAUGCAAUCAAAGCUACGGCGGUAAGAGAUGGGCUCGCGUCCCAUUAACCAGAUGGUGAGGUAACGGCUCACCAUAGUAACGAUGGGUAACCGGCCUGAGAGGGUGAACGGUCACACUGGAACUGAGACACGGUCCAGACUCCUACGGGAGGCAGCAGUGGGGAAUAUUGCACAAUGGAGGGAACUCUGAUGCAGCGACGCCGCGUGAGUGAUGAAGGAAUUCGUUUCGUAAAACUCUGUUCUAUGGGAAGAAAAGGACUGUACCAUAGGAGAAAGCUCCGGCUAAAUACGUG